AAGUAACGAUAAAGCGGGUGAAAAGCCCGCUCGCCGGAAGACCAAGGGUUCCUGUCCAACGUUAAUCGGGGCAGGGUGAGUCGACCCCUAAGGCGAGGCCGAAAGGCGUAGUCGAUGGGAAACGGGUUAAUAUUCCCGUACUUGGUGUUACUGCGAAGGGGGGACGGAGAAGGCUAUGUUGGCCGGGCGACGGUUGUCCCGGUUUAAGCGUGUAGGUGUGUGUUCCAGGUAAAUCCGGUUCACUUUAACACUGAGGCGUGACGACGAGGCACUACGGUGCUGAAGCAACAAAUGCCCUGCUUCCAGGAAAAGCCUCUAAGCAUCAGGUAACAUCAAAUCGUACCCCAAACCGACACAGGUGGUCAGGUAGAGAAUACCAAGGCGCUUGAGAGAACUCGGGUGAAGGAACUAGGCAAAAUGGUGCCGUAACUUCGGGAGAAGGCACGCUGACACGUAGGUGAAGUGAUUUACUCAUGGAGCUGAAGUCAGUCGAAGAUACCAGCUGGCUGCAACUGUUUAUUAAAAACACAGCACUGUGCAAACACGAAAGUGGACGUAUACGGUGUGACGCCUGCCCGGUGCCGGAAGGUUAAUUGAUGGGGUCAGCGCAAGCGAAGCUCCUGAUCGAAGCCCCGGUAAACGGCGGCCGUAACUAUAACGGUCCUAAGGUAGCGAAAUUCCUUGUCGGGUAAGUUCCGACCUGCACGAAUGGCGUAAUGAUGGCCAGGCUGUCUCCACCCGAGACUCAGUGAAAUUGAACUCGCUGUGAAGAUGCAGUGUACCCGCGGCAAGACGGAAAGACCCCGUGAACCUUUACUAUAGCUUGACACUGAACAUUGAGCCUUGAUGUGUAGGAUAGGUGGGAGGCUUUGAAGCGUGGACGCCAGUCUGCGUGGAGCCGACCUUGAAAUACCACCCUUUAAUGUUUGAUGUUCUAACGUGGACCCGUGAUCCGGGUUGCGGACAGUGUCUGGUGGGUAGUUUGACUGGGGCGGUCUCCUCCUAAAGAGUAACGGAGGAGCACGAAGGUUGGCUAAUCCUGGUCGGACAUCAGGAGGUUAGUGCAAUGGCAUAAGCCAGCUUGACUGCGAGCGUGACGGCGCGAGCAGGUGCGAAAGCAGGUCAUAGUGAUCCGGUGGUUCUGAAUGGAAGGGCCAUCGCUCAACGGAUAAAAGGUACUCCGGGGAUAACAGGCUGAUACCGCCCAAGAGUUCAUAUCGACGGCGGUGUUUGGCACCUCGAUGUCGGCUCAUCACAUCCUGGGGCUGAAGUAGGUCCCAAGGGUAUGGCUGUUCGCCAUUUAAAGUGGUACGCGAGCUGGGUUUAGAACGUCGUGAGACAGUUCGGUCCCUAUCUGCCGUGGGCGCUGGAGAACUGAGGGGGGCUGCUCCUAGUACGAGAGGACCGGAGUGGACGCAUCACUGGUGUUCGGGUUGUCAUGCCAAUGGCACUGCCCGGUAGCUAAAUGCGGAAGAGAUAAGUGCUGAAAGCAUCUAAGCACGAAACUUGCCCCGAG
rnacentral:rRNA from 2 species